UACAGUUUGAUCCUGGCUCAGAUUGAACGCUGGCGGCAUGCUUUACACAUGCAAGUCGAACGGCAACACGGGUGCUUGCACCUGGUGGCGAGUGGCGGACGGGUGAGUAAUACAUCGGAACGUGUCCAGAAGAGGGGGAUAACGCAUCGAAAGAUGUGCUAAUACCGCAUAUGCUCUGAGGAGGAAAGUGGGGGAUCGAAAGACCUUACGCUUUUGGAGCGGCCGAUGUCUGAUUAGCUAGUUGGUGGGGUAAAGGCCUACCAAGGCGACGAUCAGUAGUUGGUCUGAGAGGACGACCAGCCACACUGGGACUGAGACACGGCCCAGACUCCUACGGGAGGCAGCAGUGGGGAAUUUUGGACAAUGGGCGCAAGCCUGAUCCAGCAAUGCCGCGUGAGUGAAGAAGGCCUUCGGGUUGUAAAGCUCUUUCAGUCGAGAAGAAAAGGCUGCAGUGAAUAACUGUAGUUAUGACGGUAUCGACAGAAGAAGCACCGGCUAACUACGUGCAGCAGCCGCGGUAAUACGUAGGUGCGAGCGUUAAUCGGAAUUACUGGGCGUAAAGGUGCGCAGCGGUUUUGUAAGUCAGAUGUGAAAUCCCCGGG
rnacentral:rRNA from 1 species